rnacentral:rRNA from 1 species
ACUCCUACGGGAGGCAGCAGUGGGGAAUAUUGGACAAUGGGCGCAAGCCUGAUCCAGCCAUGCCGCGUGAGUGAUGAAGGCCCUAGGGUUGUAAAGCUCUUUCACCGGAGAAGAUAAUGACGGUAUCCGGAGAAGAAGCCCCGGCUAACUUCGUGCCAGCAGCCGCGGUAAU